rnacentral:rRNA from 1 species
GGGUCAGUAGGUUGGUCGUGCCACCGGUACGUACUGGUCUCACUGAUUCCUCCUUCCUGAAGAACCGUAGUGCCAUUAAUUUGGUGUUGCGGGGAAACAGGACUGUUACUUUGAAAAAAUUGGAGUGUUUAAAGCAAGCUAACGCUUGAAUACAUUAGCAUGGAAUAAUGAAAUAGGACGAUCGAUCCUAUUUUGUUGGUCUCCAGGAUUGACGUA